rnacentral:misc_RNA from 1 species
AAGUCGUAACAAGGUUUCCGUAGGUGAACCUGCGGAAGGAUCAUUAACAGAGCGUGCGGCUCCCCGCAAGGGGUUCCGCUACCUCCCAACCCCUUGACUAUCACGACCACGUUUCCUCGGCGACGCGCCGGAGGUGAAAGCCUCCGCCGGUAGGGGUACCUGCCCCGGCCGCGACGCCGCCAGAGGACUAAUUCUUAUCUCUGCGAUUCCGAACCAGCAGUCUGAGUGUGGGAUACCAUAUAAUUACCAAAACUUUCAACAACGGAUCUCUUGGUUCUG